GAUGAACGCUGGCGGCGUGCCUAAUACAUGCAAGUCGAGCGAACAGACGAGGAGCUUGCUCCUCUGACGUUAUCGGCGGACGGGUGAGUAACACGUGGAUAACCUACCUAUAAGACUGGGAUAACUUCGGGAAACCGGAGCUAAUACCGGAUAAUAUAUUGAACCGCAUGGUUCAAUAGUGAAAGACGGUUUUGCUGUCACUUAUAGAUGGAUCCGCGCCGCAUUAGCUAGUUGGUAAGGUAACGGCUUACCAAGGCAACGAUGCGUAGCCGACCUGAGAGGGUGGUCGGCCACCCUGGAACUGAGACACGGUCCAGACUCCUACGGGAGGCAGCAGUAGGGAAUCUUCCGCAAUGGGCGAAAGCUUGACGGAGCAACGCCGCGUGAGUGAUGAAGGUCUUCGGAUCGUAAAACUCUGUUAUUAGGGAAGAACAAAUGUGUAAGUAACUAUGCACGUCUUGACGGUACCUAAUCAGAAAGCCACGGCUAACUACGUG
rnacentral:rRNA from 1 species